UUUACAGAAACCCCCUUGAGUUUUAUGGAAAUAAACCCGCAAUCCUGAUCACCGUUAUCCGUAAGUUAGCGUACCGCUUCGUUUUCCUGUUCUUCAAAUGCCAUCGCCUGUCCCAACCGGCCACCCACGAUCCCAAAUUUCAGGCCGCAUAGCCGCUCGCCGCCGGGUGCUACUCCGCCCCGAGCACCGUCAAUGUCUCCGUUGCCUGCUCAGGCCCGCCCUCUUCAUCCCCCUCCCCUCAUCGUCGUCCAUUGCCCCGAGCUCCCCUCGCCGCGCCGCAGACCACCUGCUCCUCCCGAUGCACUGCCCACGCGCGGCCACGUCUCACCUAGCUGUCCACUCGCGCGUCUCCUACCUCGGUGGUCCGGCGAGCAGCGCCGGCAGCCAUGGCAAAUUGCCAUGGGUGCGGCCAGUCCGAGCUCCAGUUUAGGCAGGUCGGUCCAAAAAGAAAAGAAAAAACCGUGACCCCGUCCUCCAAUACGCCACCUGCUCCCAUCCAUUCAGCACCGCCACCCGCUUCAGCACCUGCUCGUCGGCCGCCGCCGUGCGGAGCCACCUGCCCAGCUCUUCGCCCCGCCUGCCUACGCCUAUCACAGCCACGCACCACUUCGCCUCCCCCUGCCCAUUGCCUCCUACACAAUCGCCUUGAAUCACAGGAGCUGCAUCUCAUCUCUCUCCCUGUAGUGAUGGUCACGGGCUGAUGUUGCUGCUCCUCUCCAUCAGGAUCUAUCUCUUUCUCUUUGUCUCUAUCUCUCUCUCAUGGAUCGGCAACUGCAUUCUUCCCAAAUAUGUGUGCCCCUCUGCUCUGGAUAUUACGCCCACAACAUGUUUGAUGUUAUGCUUAUGAGGAGUUGAACUUCAAUUUUUUCAAGUUUUUCUUUGGUGUAGGCAUUCAGGCCUGGUGUAAUUUCUUUUCAAAAGUGAACAUGUUGUAUAGUCCAAUGUAUCUAGGAAAAUUAAGUUAUGGAGAGUUGUUCAUCAUGUUGCUUGCAUAUUUUUUUGUCUAACAAACUAGAUACUUCAAUUUUGGAUAUAAACAUUGAGUAGGUGCUGAAAUUUUUCGCUAAUAAUAGUUUCCAACUUGCUUUUUAGCAGAACUACAGAACUAUUUGCAGCUUUUAAUUAUGUGUACUUAAAAUGGAUUUGGUGUCCAGGACAUGUGGAGUUGACAUCGAGUUGAAUUAUGUGCUGAUGUUCUUCGUUAGAAUAAUUGUUCUUCUCCUUUAAAAAUGAUGGACCAUUGACUUAUUUUUUUAGAUGCUCAAAUACACACACAAACGACAUCCAGUAAGUGCUUGGACACCCGGCAGAUUGAAAGUACAGAAGCAAAGAUAUCCAAUACGAGGCCACAAUGCCCGACAGAGACGCGGCCAAUACGCUCCUAAUCUUUAUUUCUUGAUUUUGGAACCACAAAUUCCUGGAACACUGCCCAGUGUUUCAGCUGCGUACAUGUCUACAACAAUACUAGCAGAUCUGAAUUUGUGUUGCUAAGGUGUAGACUGACCUGACUUCGAGGGAAAAACAUGGAGAUUAGAGUGCCCUUUUUUCCCUUCCAAUUCCAUUUUCAGCAGCUAUCAGACAUGCAUAGAAAAUGUACUUUUGAGUACUUACAAUAUUAUUUUGCUACUUGCAGAGUUGUUCGAGUGGUAAUUUGUUUUACAAAUUUCUACAACAGGCUGCAUCAGCGGUUCACAACGGAGGAAGCUGUGGCGACUGCUACUGAAGC